rnacentral:tRNA from 1 species
GCCGGGGUAGCCCAACUGGGUAGGAGGCACACGGUCGAGAGCCGUGGCAGUGCGGGUUCGAAUCCCGCUCCCGGUACCA